rnacentral:rRNA from 1 species
CAGCAGCCGGGUAAAACGGAGGGGGCUAGCGUUGUUCGGAAUUACUGGGCGUAAAGCGCACGUAGGCGGCUUGGUAAGUUAGAGGUGAAAGCCCAGGGCUCAACCCUGGAAUUGCCUUUAAGACUGCCGAGCUAGUAGGUGAGAGAGGUGAGUGGAAUUCCGAGUGUAGAGGUGAAAUUCGUAGAUAUUCGGAAGAACACCAGUGGCGAAGGCGGCUCACUGGCUCAUUCUAGACGCUGAGGUGCGAAAGCGUGGGGAGCAAACAGGAUUAGAUACCCCCGUAGUCCCUGUCUCUUAUACA